AGCAGCCGCGGUAAUUCCAGCUCCAAUAGCGUAUAUUAAAGUUGUUGCAGUUAAAAAGCUCGUAGUUGAAUUUCGGGGUCAGUAGGUCGGUCGUGCCACUGGUAUGAACUGGUUUUACUGAUUCCUCCCUCUUGAAGAACUGUAAUGCCAUUAAUUUGGUGUUGCGGGGAAUCAGGACUGUUACUUUGAAAAAUUGAGUGUUUAAGGCAGGCUUUAGCUUGAAUACAUUAGCAUGGAAUAAUGAAAUAGGACGUUUGAUCCUAUUUUGUUGGUUCUAGGAUUGACGUAAUGAUUAAUAGGGAUAGUUGGGGGCAUUAGUAUUC
rnacentral:rRNA from 1 species